UACGGGGGGAGCAAGCGUUGUUCGGAUUUACUGGGCGUAAAGGGCGCGUAGGCGGUCAGCACAAGUCAGUUGUGAAAUCUCCGGGCUUAACCCGGAAAGGUCAACUGAUACUGUGCGACUAGAGUGCAGAAGGGGCAACUGGAAUUCUCGGUGUAGCGGUGAAAUGCGUAGAUAUCGAGAGGAACACCUGCGGCGAAGGCGGGUUGCUGGGCUGACACUGACGCUGAUGCGCGAAAGCCAGGGAGCGAACGGG
rnacentral:rRNA from 1 species